rnacentral:rRNA from 1 species
CACUGACAUUAGAUACCCGGGUAGUCCAGGGUGUAAACGCUGCAGACUUGGUGUUGGAAGCCCUUUGGGGGCAUUCAGUGCCGGAGAGAAGUUGUUAAGUCUGCUACUUGGGAGUACGUCCGCAAGGAUGAAACUUAAAGGAAUUGGCGGGGGAGCACCGCAACGGGAGGAGCGUGCGGUUUAAUUGGAUUCAACGCCGGAAAUCUUACCGGGACCGACAGCAACAUGAAGGCCAAGCUGAAGACUUUGCCGGAUUAGCUG